AAUGAACGCUGGCGGCGCGCCUAAUACAUGCAAGUCGAGCGAGAAGACGUAGCAAUACGUUUGUAAAGCGGCGAACGGGUGAGGAAUACAUGGGUAACCUACCCUCGAGUGGGGAAUAACUAGCCGAAAGGUUAGCUAAUACCGCGUACGCUCCUUGGACUUCGGUUCAGGGAGGAAAGCGAUACCGUGGGUAUCGCGCUCUUGGUUGGGCUCAUGUCCUAUCAGCUUGUUGGCGAGGUAACGGCUCACCAAGGCUUCGACGGGUAGCUGGUCUGAGAGGACGAUCAGCCACACUGGCACUGCGACACGGGCCAGACUCCUACGGGAGGCAGCAGUAAGGAAUAUUGCGCAAUGGGCGAAAGCCUGACGCAGCGACGCCGCGUGGGGGAUGAAGGUCUUCGGAUUGUAAACCCCUUUCGGG
rnacentral:rRNA from 1 species